GACGAACGCUGGCGGCGUGCCUAACACAUGCAAGUCGAACGGACAGGCCAUGCUCUUGCGGCGUGCACGAUUGGCGAACGCGUGUGUAACACGCGAGUAACCUCUCCCUGUCUUUGGGAUAACUCCAGGAAACAGCGGCGAAUAUCGCAUAGGAGCUCUUGCAGCACGGUGGUGGAUGGAAAGUUUCGGUGGUUGGGGCUGGACUCGCGGCUUAUCAGCUUGAUGGUGGGGUAGUGGCUUACCAAGGCUUCGACGGGUAGCCGGCCUGAGCGGGUGACAGGCCACAUUGGGACUGAGAUACGGACCAGACGGCAACGGGAGGCAGCAGUGGGGAAUUUUGCGCAAUGGGGGGGAGCCUGAUGCAGCAGCGCCGCGUGCGGGAUGACGGCCUUCGGGUUGUAAACCGCUUUCGACUGUGACGUGGCGUGAGUGACGGUAAUGGGUAAGGAAGCACCGGCUAACUACGUG
rnacentral:rRNA from 1 species